UACGUAGGGUGCAAGCGUUAAUCGGAAUUACUGGGCGUAAAGCGUGCGCAGGCGGCUAUGCAAGACAGAUGUGAAAUCCCCGGGCUCAACCUGGGAACCGCAUUUGUGACUGCAUAGCUAGAGUACGGUAGAGGGGGAUGGAAUUCCGCGUGUAGCAGUGAAAUGCGUAGAUAUGCGGAGGAACACCGAUGGCGAAGGCAAUCCCCUGGACCUGUACUGACGCUCAUGCACGAAAGCGUGGGGAGCAAACAGG
rnacentral:rRNA from 1 species